rnacentral:rRNA from 1 species
CCUACGGGAGGCUGCAGUUGGGAAUCUUGCACAAUGGGGGAAACCCUGAUGCAGCGACGCCGCGUGGAGGAAGAAGGGUCUAGGCUCGUAAACUCCUUUUUCAGGGAAAGACUUAGGCCGGUACCCUGAGAAUAAGCUCCGGCUAACUCCGUUCCAGCAGCCGCGGUAAGCCGUAGGGAGCGAGCGUUGUCCGGAUUUACUGGGCGUAAAGAGCACGUAGGCGGUCUGUUAAGUGAGAAGUGAAAUCUCCAGCGCGCAACGCGGAAACGGCGUUGCAUACUGGCAGACUUGAGGGAGGCAGAGGAAAGUAGAAUUCCUGGUGUACCGGUGACAUGGGUUGAUAUCAGGAGGAAUACCAAUGGCGAAGGCAGCUUGCUGGGCAUCAUCUGACGCUGAGGUGCGAAAGCGUGGGUAGCAAACAGGAUUAGAUACCCUGGUAGUC